rnacentral:tRNA from 1 species
GCCCGGGUGGCUCAGUCGGUUGAGUGUCCGACUUCGGCUCAGGUCAUGAUCUCACGGUUCGUGGGUUCGAGCCCCACAUCGGGGCU